rnacentral:tRNA from 1 species
GGGGNCAUAGCUCAGUGGUAGAGCAUUUGACUAGCGUGUGUGAGGGCCUGGGUUCAAUUCCCAGUCUUCA